rnacentral:rRNA from 1 species
UACGUAGGUGGCAAGCGUUACUCGGAAUCACUAGGCGUAAAGCGCAGGUAGGAGGUUUGGUAAGUCUGUUGUGAAAGCUCCCGGCUUAACUGGGAGAGGUCAACGGAAACUGCUAGGCUAGAGUGCGGUAGAGGUAGCUGGAAUUCCCGGUGUAGCGGUGAAAUGCGUAGAUAUCGAGAGGAACACCUGCGGCGAAGGCGGGUUGCUGGGCUGACACUGACGCUGAUGCGCGAAGCCAGGGAGCGAACGGG